GAAUGCCGGCCUUGGAGCGGCGGGUAUGUGUUAGCGAGGUGUGGCAGCGCGAGUAUUAUAAGUCAGCUAAGCACAGAGUUAUGCUGUGCUUAAGCUGCUGCCAAGGUACGAGUGAGCACCUGAGCAGAAAGGAACCGGAGCUGUUGGAAAAUGGGACAGGUCUUUUCUGAGGUCUUCCCGACGUGCCCUUCCCCAUCACUACUUCAUCUUUCCACGUGUUUUCAUCCUCCUUAUGCCUCUCUGCCCCUUCAGCUCAGUAUCUGCCUGUCGCAGGAUGGCAUGAGGAAGCCUCUGUCACCUACAGGAGCUGCCAAGUGCCUCUCUGUGGCAUGCUGUUCCCGCACAGCUGAGUGCGACAGCCAUGGUGAACCACAACCUUUCAACUCAGCAUGAGCGCAGCCUUGCUUCUGUGAAUAUAGACCCAGCUUCUCAUUUUAUUUUGUGAAAUUAUCAGGGCUCUUGUUGGCAUCAUCAUUUGCUUGGUACUUGGGAUACGUAUUUGCUGCUCAUGUAUCACAAGAGUCACUGUCAACAUCUAUAGCUUAUCUUCAAGACAUUGGAAAGAAACCAGUGUUGAGGGCCCCACUCCCCAGAAGGCAGAAGUGUGAUCACUGGUCUCCCUGCUCACCUGGGAGCUAUGCCUAUCGGAUUCUUAGUGGUGGUGGCAAAGAAAAGCUGGCUAAAAUCUGUUUUGAGGAUGAGCUGUAAGUACCAGACUGACUUUUUAUA